UCAAAGAGUGGAGGUGUAAUCUGAGCUUCCCUUGACUGUCAAUGCUGUUUUUGAAUAGCUGGAGGGUGAGUUGUCACAUAGUAAGGUAUGACACUAACCCUCCAGCUAUUCAAAAACAGCAUUGACAGUCAAGGGAAGCUCAGAUUACACCUCCACU